UUAUAUGAUGACUUUAACAAAAACAAAAGCUGGAAUUACUGGCUGAAUCUCUAUGAUUGAUACGUUUUUGCACAACAACCCUGAUU
rnacentral:snoRNA from 1 species